AUUAUAAGUUGUAUAUAGCUGUAAUCAUGCGCAAUAUGUAAUAUAUAAUACAAGAAAAAGUAGAAACAAUAGCGAUAGCUCACACAUAAACUGAAAAGAAAUACAGUUUUUCACACCAUAGGACAAAAGUAAAAAAGGAAAACACCACACAAGGCUCUCACACAAAAAGAAUCAGGCCAUAUCAAUAGGAAACAUGCAAGAAAAGAAAGGUAGUGAUGAAGGUGGUGGGGAGAGGAAUGAGAUGGAGGGCAUAGUAGUUGGAAUUGUGAACGUUGGGAUUGAGGGCAAUGGAGGAACGUUGAGCUAUGGGUUAGUUAGAUUAAACAGAGGAAGGUCCAAUGAUGAAACAUUAAACAGAGGAAGGUCUUGAAUAAAAGGCAAUGAUGAAAAAUUUGUCUGCAUAAGAUGGCGAGCUGCUAUGCUCAUGCUCAUCAUGGCUGAGAAGGUGAGAGCAAGAAGGAAAGCAGUGAUGAAUGAUUUGUUGGAGGCCAUAGUUGUCUGGAGUGCAAUAAUGAAGAAGAGAUAUUGCUAUGUUUUGUUUGAGAUUGUAUGAAAGGCUGAAGAAUAUAUAUAGGGCUUGCUAUGGUUUCAGCUUAACUUUGUUUGGAGAAGAGAAUAGAGCCUAAAGAAUGUUUUUGUUUGAAUAAAUGAUAAUUUUAUUAUGUUGGACUGAAAACGUGGUUGAGUGAUAUUAAUCCUGGAUAAUAAAAAAAAAAUCCUGGAUAAUCAAUAAACAAUCCUGGAGAAUCAAUAGUUGAAGAUUGAAGAUGAUCCAAGACGGGUGAAAUUGCUGCAAAUGGAGAAGGAUUUUGGAACAGAUAGUGAUCCUCUUGGAAGCUUGUAAUAGGAAGCAAGGCUCUCAUAUUAAGGUUAUAUUUAUUUAUUUAUUUAUUUUAAAAAAUAAAAUUCAAUUUGGAAACAAUAUUUUAAAAAAGUUAUAAUAUAAUAAAAAGAUAACAAUAUUUUAACUAAUUAUUAAAUUAAAGCAAAUCUAAAACUAAGAAUAUUAAUAUAAUUAUUGUUAUAUUUAAAUAAAUAAUAUAUUUACAUAAGUAUAUUUAAAUACUAUAAUUAUGUAGACUUAUACAUAAUAUUUAAGUAAUGAAUAUUUAAAAAUUUAAAUAAUUAUAUAUAAUAUUUAAAAUUUCUAAUUAAAUUAGUUUUCCCGACUUUGUUUUUUUCCUGAACGACUUUCAUCCACAUAAUCACUUUAUCUACAUAAGAAAAAAACCAAACAACAAAUUAAUGUGUAAAAUUUUAGGAUCUCAACUUGAAGGAAAAGAGACAACAUGCAAUUAAAAUGAAGUUUGCAUACGAUAUUGCUCUAUUGAGAAAAUAGCAUAAAGUUAAAUUCACCCUCAAGAGCAAUUAACUAUAAGACCUCAGAGCACUCAAGAUAAACUAUAAUAUAAGUUUUAUGUGUAAUUUGUUAAAAUAAAUGUUAUAUCUCACAUUUUUGUAAAGAUAAAAAUAAUUAUAUAUUUAGUUUAAAACUAAAAUACAAUUUUUAAAAUAAUUAUAUAUUCUUGACCACUAUUGUUAAGUAUAUUUCUUAGAGAUACAUGAUAAUUAUAUAAACCCAACUUAUAUAUCCUUUUAUCAAAAGUUAAUAGUAGAAAUUAAUUUCAUAUAUUGUCUUAUCAUGAUAAUUUGAUAGUUUAAGUGUUAUAAACUUAAAAUGAGCGAAUUUUAUAUCAGGUAGAAAAAAAAAUUAAAAUAUCAAAGUAAAAACUUACCAAUAUAUUGGUUUCAAAUAUGUCUAAUGUUUUCCCUCAAAGAAUUUAUUGUUAGGUACAAAUUAUAUGUUUUUAUUAUUCUUCUUGAAUAUACUUCUAGUAUGAUAUUUCAGAUUAUAUUAAUUUAAUCACUUAUUGCAUAAGUUUAUGUUGUAUCAUUUUCUUUAGAAAAAUUUUACAUAAAUAUCCUUAAGUUUUUCUACCUUAUGAUACAUGUAAUAAAAAAAAUACUUUUAAUUUAAUGGUUGAUUCUUCAGAAAUCGUUUUGUAUUUUAAAAUAAAAAUAUGAUAUAUAAUUAAUGUUGAAUUAGUGUUCGUGUUUGUCCCUUUUAUUUAUUUAUAGGCGUACUAUUUACACUUUUUAUUACUUUUGUUUUUCAUUAAAUAAGUUGGUAAGGAAAAAAAUGAAAACUUAAAAUAUGAAAAAUGUUUAAAUAAUCAAGAACCCAAAGUAAAGAAGGAACGGAGAACUUAAGCAAAGAGAAAUAAUAGUGAAAAAAAAACUUAUUAAUGUAUAAAAAAAAUAUUGUUAUUAUAUAAACAAAAUUAAAUAUUUGUUAUUAAUAAAAAUUAAUUUAAAAAUAUUGUUCUUAUUAAAAAGAUAUUUGAAUAUAAUUUAGAGAAAAAAAAGUAAAAAAAUAGUUAAAUAUUUGUUUUUCUCAUAAUUUUUAAAAUAUUUUUUAAUUUUAUCAAUUUUAUUUUGUUAAUAUUUUUAAAAUUAAUGCGCGUUUUGGUUGUUAUCAAAUUUUUUUUAUGUGAAAUUGUAUUAUAUAGUAUGUAAUUCUUUUGCUUUUAUUUAAUAUUUUGAUUUAAAAUUAUAUAAUUAUCAUUUGAAAUACUUAGGAGGUUGGAAUACUUAGUAAUAAUGUAAAGACAGUCAGUUAGACAUCUAAUUAGGAGGUUGGAAGAGUUUAAAUUAAAGGAUAAGAGACAUUAUAAGUUGUAUAUAGCUGUAAUCAUUCGUAAUAUGUAAUCUAUAAUACAAGAAAAAGUAGAAACAAUAGCGAUAACUCACGUAAACUGAAAAGAAAUACAGUUUUUCACACCAUACGACAAAAGUAAAAGGUAAACACCACACAAGGCUCUCAGACAAAAGGAAUCAGGCCAUAUCUGUAGGAAGCAUGCAACUUGGCACUGCUACGAAUCAGACUGAGACGGUAGCUUGGCCAGGAAGAAGAAAAGAAAGGUAGUUUAAGGGGUGGAGGUGGAAGGUGGUGGGGAGAGGAAUGGGAUGGAGGGCAUAGUAGUUGGAAUUGUGAAUGUUGGGAUUGAAGGCAAUGGAGGAACGUUGAGCUGUGGAAUUGUUGGAAUGUUAGGGAUGUUGGUAGGAAGUGGAGGCAAAGUGGUAGGUAUAGAUGGGAUAGUGGGCAGUGGUGGAACAUUACCCUGAGGAAGGGCUGGAAUUGAAGGCAAUGGUGGCAAUGUUGGCAAUGUUGGUGCAGUUGUCUGCAUAAGAUGGCGAGCUGCUAGGCUCAUGCUGAUGCUUGAGAAGGUGAGAGCAAGAAGAAAAGCAGUGAUGAAUGAUUUGUUGGAGGCCAUAGUUGUUUGGAGUGCAAUAAUGAAGAAGAGAUAUUGUUAUGUUUUGUUUGAGAUUGUAUGAAAGGCUGAAGGAUAUAUAUAGGGCUUGCUAUGGUUUCAGCUUAACUUUGUUUGGAGAAGAAAAUAGAGCCUAAAGCAUGUUUUUG
rnacentral:lncRNA from 1 species